rnacentral:rRNA from 1 species
UGCAGUCGAGCGGACAGAAGGGAGCUUGCUCCCGGAUGUUAGCGGCGGACGGGUGAGUAACACGUGGGUAACCUGCCUGUAAGACUGGGAUAACUCCGGGAAACCGGAGCUAAUACCGGAUAGUUCCUUGAACCGCAUGGUUCAAGGAUGAAAGACGGUUUCGGCUGUCACUUACAGAUGGACCCGCGGCGCAUUAGCUAGUUGGUGGGGUAAUGGCUCACCAAGGCGACGAUGCGUAGCCGACCUGAGAGGGUGAUCGGCCACACUGGGACUGAGACACGGCCCAGACUCCUACGGGAGGCAGCAGUAGGGAAUCUUCCGCAAUGGACGAAAGUCUGACGGAGCAACGCCGCGUGAGUGAUGAAGGUUUUCGGAUCGUAAAGCUCUGUUGUUAGGGAAGAACAAGUGCGAGAGUAACUGCUCGCACCUUGACGGUACCUAACCAGAAAGCCACGGCUAACUACGUGCCAGCAGCCGCGGUAAUACGUAGGUGGCAAGCGUUGUCCGGAAUUAUUGGGCGUAAAGGGCUCGCAGGCGGUUUCUUAAGUCUGAUGU